CUGGAUGUUCCAUUCUGUGCUUGCUGAGAAUGAUUAAUUUUAUUCUUGUUGUUUAGGAGAAAUCCUGGCUUCUUUGAGCUUGGAAGCUGUUAUUCUGUUACCCACCUGCAGUCUUCCUGUGCUGAAGGAGAAGACCUUCAUUGAGGCAGCUCUUAAAAUGGAGCGAGCCACAAAUCUUCCGAAGCUGCAGUUUUCCAUCUGGAACCUUGAAUUGCUGCUGAGUUAAGAAUUCAGAACUGAAUGGAUGUGUUGAUACAGGAGGUGUUCUGGGCAUGAUGCCUGUUCGAUGGCAUGAGGAAAUGGCACCGACUCAGGUCUGAGCAUUCACUCCAAGCUGCAGCACAGCCUCAGGGUUUGAUAAGCUGCGUGCUGCUGCUGAGCCUUCCAAGGAGCUCACCAACAAGAGCGUCGAUUACAGUGCAUGCAAAGAAACCACCUGCGAUCUGAGGCCAGCAGCACAUGUGAAAGAUGGCUCAAUGUGCUCUUCUGCUUGAAGCUGGCUGAGGACACCUGGGCAGAUGAGAGCAAGCAGAGCAUGGAGUAUGCUGGCCCUUCUCCACGUGGGAGCAGUUACUUAGGAUAAAUCUGGGAAACAUGGUCCUUGAUAGCAAGGGCCAAACUGGAGGCUUUGGGCUGGAGGAAGCAUGGAGCCCCAAAUCAAAAAUUGGGUGGCCUCUCUCUCAGCAUGGCAUGGCUCACUUUUGGUGGGUGUCAUGUGCUUGCGAUCAGCAGCAGCCACAGCCAGUGCUCGUCUACUGAAUGAAAACUACAGCAGUAAACAGCAGCGAAAGUGUGGAAUAGUGUGGGGUGGUCCCCUCUGGGAGUCAUGGGAUGAUGAUGUUGAGCAGAGGAGAGUUUCAGCACAGCACAAAGGAAAAUGUCCUGAUGCUGUGCUGGCCCUCAGGGGGAUGGGGAGAACCCCUUGG
ensembl:lncRNA